rnacentral:rRNA from 1 species
UACGUAGGGUGCAAGCGUUAAUCGGAAUUACUGGGCGUAAAGCGUGCGCAGGCGGUUUGGUAAGACAGAUGUGAAAUGCCCGGGCUUAACCUGGGAACUGCAUUUGUGACUGCAUGGCUAGAGUUUGGCAGAGGGGGGUAGAAUUCCACGUGUAGCAGUGAAAUGCGUAGAGAUGUGGAGGAAUACCGAUGGCGAAGGCAGCCCCCUGGGCCAAUACUGACGCUCAUGCACGAAAGCGUGGGGAGCAAACAGG